UCGGUUUCAAAGGCAUCUUGCUCUAUGGCA
rnacentral:piRNA from 1 species